UUUGCUGUGGUGUCUUUCUGGCAGCAGUAUACUAGGCCAUCAUGAUUCCCACCGAUUCCCAGGGACUGUCUCACACUGCAGAACAUCUGAAGCAAGUGGACACUCAUUUUCGAACACAUCAAGGCCACCUUCUGCUCAACUUUGUUUAGAAGUCAAAACAACACUGCAAACCUCCUGGAGAAGACACCUUCACGGGCAGACAAAACUGAACCUGAGGUUCCUCACAGUACUCACUACUUCUGAGCACUCACGAUACAAUGGCCUAAAUUCAGGGUUACUGCUGUGGCAGCUGCUGGGAUCCUGGAGAGAAUUCUUCUCACCACUGC